GAUUCCCAGGAAAAAAAAGGUUUUAUUGACUCAAACAUUAUUUACAGUUUCAUUAGAACAAGUGCCAGACGACAUGAUGAAGAAGACUACAUGAAAACAUAAGACAGAAUACUUAAAUAAAAGUUUUACACAGUCUGAAGGAGUCCAGCUGACUCUAGGACAAAGUGCUUCUCCCACAAAACCACCUCCACCACUGCACAAAUACAUCUACAUGUGUUACAUCGACUUGAAUUCAGAACACUGAGUGUGAUUUAUUCACUUACUGACUGGUUUAGUUACUUUUUAACAUAAAUUGUCCUAAAAAUUGUUUAAGUUCUACUAAGAAAAAAACCACAACACAUUUAAGUAUUUUGGGGGGUAAGUGACAAAAUUGUAAUUAAUAUUCAAGUUAAUUCAAAAAGUAAUUAAAUAAGCAAGUAGUCCAAUUUACUCAAAACAUGAAAAUAUUGUGAAUUCAUGCCAUGUAAAUACAUUGGUGCAGUGUUUCUUCCACGCUCUGCUCUUGGUCAUUUGUUCGCUUUAAGGCAGGACUGGUCAGUGUGGAAUGGAUGCCUCAAGUGCACUUUGGCUUACAAUUAUACAAUCAACUUUAGUGUACCAGUAUUUGAAGAAUCAUGAAUUCACAUUCAUGGAGGGCAGGGUCUGGGCUGGUUGUUUUCAGACAGUAGAAUGUGCUCAUAGUAUUCCUGUAUCAAGAAUGCAGUAUUUUUGUUAUCCAAAGAAAAAUCCACAAAUUAACAUAAUUUAUAUAACUGACAAGGGCCAUGAUUGUGAUGUAUUUACCAAAACAAACCAAAAUCUGCAAAUUACCCAAAACUUAAAAACAAAAAUGAAAUAAGCUGUGGUCACUUCUGAAAAUUACUUUACAUACAAAAAAACUCAACAUUCUUAUGAUUUCAAUUCAUAAAUAUGCACUAUGAAUCUUAAUGUGCUUUCUAAAAUCUACAAUCAUGCCCCAUCAUGAUAAAAAAAUAAAAUUAAAUUUAAAAAAAAUUCUAACUUUGUGCCAGUUUUUUGUAAUGACAUAGGCACCUUGUUCAUUUGGUGCAGUGUGAUAAUGUAACAAGACUCUAAACUCUUGUCCUGCCCUCCACCUCAAUAGGUAAAUUGAUAGGCCCUUUUUAUGACACCACAUGAAAGCGACUUCUUGCUCGUGUUGUUUUGAGUCACUGAUUGGACUGAUUCCCCAAUUUGAGUCUCAACUGGAUUUGUGUCAAAAUUCAAUCUGCACAUGCCCAAAUGCUUCUUGUAAAAACACAUUUAUCCUCUAAUAAACCAGAACAAACAGAUCAAUACAGACAAACAUCAACGCUAAUAGACAAACACAUUAACUAUGACACAACUAGCAUGACUGACUGCAAAUUUGGUCAAUGACUUAAAUUGGGAAUUGGCAAGUCACUUAACCAAGGCUAAUUUUAGAACUUGACGACUACACCAGCUGUCCAUUGGUCCAAGUUUGUUACAAGUUUUACAGUUUCCAAGGCAUCUCUGGCUCAGUCUAAACGCUGGGUUUACAGUAUGUUGUGCAUUACAUGUCCCUCAAUCACAGAUAAGGAGAGUUCUGAGCCAGUGUGGCGCACCCUACAGUCGGUACAGUAGAAUAUUCGACAACACAGAAUUUCUCUUCUUAAACGCGUGGCUAGGCUGUUAACAACAGUCUCUGUCCAGUAUUGCAGCUAAUAAUAUGGCGCAUAAAAAACAAAACAAUCAACACACUACAAGUAACACAAAGCUAAUGGGAGCGAAAAGGCAACCAAAGACACAUUCAGUUUAGUUGUGCUACCAAAAAGCAAGCUCCUAGAGUCCUAUAAAAAGUACAGGCAGGUGGUGCUCUAUGUGGAAGGAUACGAGAGGGGCUUGGUCACUGAACAGGCCUACUCCACCUUUUUGAAAUGACAAGGCAAAGAUUGGUCCACACGCGAUAGGUACAGCAGCGUUUACAGCUAGCAUGUUUCCACUGGAGUGCUACAGGGACAGGAGGACUAGCCCGGCUAACCUUACAGUACUAUAGACUGUAACACAAUGCUUGCCUUACAAUAGUGUUGAAAAAGUACCUCAUACAUAUAGCUUGAAUAUACAGCAAUAUUAGGUAUAAUAUACUUUCUAACAUAAACCAAAUAUACCACUGUUGGCAAUUGUAAAAUGUUAUUUUGAUUAUCGUAAAGGUUUUUUGGAAAACCAGAUCUUCUGAAAAUGGCACACUACAAUAAUGUUUUAAGGCACUAAUAACAAGUGGAGUUCUCGUUCCCAACCAGUUCAAUAUUUACUGACCAACCCAUUAGAGUUGCUAAGAAGCUAAUAAAAUAAAUAAAUUCACGUGAAACCCUGACCAAUUUUGUUUACCUGUACUGUACUGCUUAGUGGAAACACCUCUAACAAUCCAUUUCAGAUUUGGACCAGAGCACAGUAUAUAUUUCACUGUUGAUUACGACAUUGAUACGAUGAGUUAAAUACAUUCACAACUCUCCUGGUUAUUCAAAGCAGACCUGUUCAGAACCCAAGCCGCGCUGUACCACUGAAAGGCACUACGAUUACUACACUGGUCUAACUAACCACUGCACUGUCUCCUCAGCUGUGUCCAAUUCUAUGUCCCCCUAGAGGACACUCAUCCAUGGACACGGGCUAGUCUGGACACAGUUACGCGCACGCGCGCUACACCUGAACCGCCAUUUUGGGUCGGUCUCUACGCAGGCAUGGAACACGACAAACUGACUGAGAACAAGUGGUCGUCGCCCAAAAGAAUCCGAGAUAAGCCCCUUCACCAGUCAAAACACACAUGAUAUGACAUCAGCGAGCCCAGCUUUGUACAAGAACAACAAUAUCAUCUAGAGUUGGGCCAUACGUCGAAAAAUGGAUCAUAUCUCAAUUGUUGAUAUGCUAAAGUAGAACAUCGUCUUUAAAAGAAAUACUAAAAAGGGCAAAAAAUACGAGAUUAAAAAUAAAAAUAAAAACAAGCCUGCAAUAUAAUAUUUAAAAGACGAUAUUUCUACACUUUAGGUUUUAAAAGACACUUCUGUGCAAUACCUAACCUAAACCAAGACUCACAGGCUUGGUUUAUUACAUUUGAUGGAUUGUCAUCUGUUGUAAUAUUGUCUGAAUAUUGUCAUGGAAAUGAGAUAAAAAUAAACAUUUGAGAUAUACAUUUUUGUGCAUAUGGCCCACCUCUUAACGUAUAUGGGACAAACAGUGGUAGUUAUUGAAGCCCUAUUCUGUUCCUACCCCAAACAAACUAGACACUUUUCUACAACAGAGAUUUCAGGUUAGAAGUGUACAUGAUCUAUCGGAUUAUAUUCACACUGGAAACACAGUAAAGGCCAUUCUGAAACAAAGGUAGUCUGGAUACUGAGGCCAUUUCAUGGUCGUGAGAUCUCAUCUCAGUUUGGAUUUGGUUUAAAAACAAAGAUUUUAAAGAUUGGUAACAAUCCUAAACCCUUAGAGUUCACAUAUUUCAUAUUCCUAUACAUUCACUCGCUCACACACACGACCCCGGGGGGCCUCACAGUAACAGAGCUCAGGGCCCGACAGUGAGAUGGUGCUCCACUGUGAUUGGUCCAGGCAGUCACAUGACCCUUAGGACGAGUUCAGCAGGUUGCUAAGGACUGAAGCACAAACAGAGACAUAAGUGUGAGUACAGAGUUAGGCCACAGGAGUAUAUAUGUGUGUGUGCAGGGCUGUACCUUGGGGAUCGGACUUGGCCUCUGCAACGUCUGCUUUACGGCCCUCCUCUGGAUCUGCUUCUGAGGGGAGACCAGAAAGAAAGAGGGGGGUGAGACAUGGUGAGAGGGGGAGAGGGGGGACCAGCGAGAGAGAGAGGGGGGUGUGAGAAGGCACACGCCCAAACCUACUGAAUACAACUGUUCCACAUCAUUAGUAUUUUCCUCAGACUAUGUUAGACUCACUGCUAGAGGUUGGCUGUGCAAAAUGAGCACAGUUACUAAUCUACAAAAGUGUAAACAGUUG
ensembl:lncRNA